CCGUAGCUCAGCUGGAUAGAGUACCUGACUGCGAAUCAGGUGGUCGGAGGUUCGAAUCCUCCCGG
rnacentral:tRNA from 1 species